UUUGAUACAUUUUCCCUUUUAAUGUUUCAUUUACUCAGUUUUCCUUAUAAUGUUCCAUUUACUCAUAUGCUUCUGUUAAGAAAGGCCUGAUACUCAUAUGCUUAUGUUAAGAAAGGCUUGAAAAGCACAUAGUGUUCACAUAUCUUUAUGUUUUGUCUUUGCUUCUUCUCACACACAUACACAUGAGCCCUGCAGUAAUCGCUGACUCCUGUAGAAGUAUCUUGCAGACACCCUUGGAAACAGGACCCAACUGGCUUCUGUUUUCCUCGAGAUAGACAAUACACUCACACACACACACACACACACUGUGUCCCAUACAUGCCCAGAUUGUCUGUUACAGUCUGAAAAAACAGAGAAUGCUACGAUGUAUAAAUAAAGCUGACUGCAAAGCCUCGGUGUGAGUAUCACCCGAUCACUCACCCGUGCGCACGUAGUUCUCUGAACAAAACUCUGACUGUUUCUGUAUUCUUUCAAUGUUUAAAAAUGUCUUGCCACUGACAUUUAAUUGGUCCUUCGAGCCGGAUAGUUUAUUGAUAUUAUUGUAUCAUCUAACUAUUCACAGACGGAGCCACCGGAUCCUGACGUCGUGACUACCUGCACUGCAACCACCGUUUCUAGCGAAGCGAGGAAAAGCCCAGGGUGUACAUUCGCCUACUGGCCAGUGUCUUAUACAGGUCCACGACGCCAGGUUCUCGGUGACGCCGGGAAAAAGAACACAGCGCAACAUUGAAGUCUCUUCCAGGUUGAAACCAGGAGAUUGGAUCCUGAUAAAAGUGCUCCAGAGGAAAAAGUGGAGCUCCCCGAGGUGGGAAGGACCCUACCAAGUCCUCCUGGCCACACCAACAGCCUGCAAAAUUGCUGAACGACCCUCCUGGAUUCAUCAGAGCCACUGUAAAAAAAGUGAGCGACAGUCAACACUAACACGCCAGCACCCCUGCCUGUUAGUGAUCUGGGAGGUGGAGAGAGGGCUGUUUGGGUAAAUCCCGCCCUUGUUCUUCUCGCCCCUAGUCUACUCACUCACAGGACCAGGUGUGUUCGGUCAUCAUGAAGACCCUACUCGUUCUGGUGGCCAGUGUCACAAUUCUGUUGGGACUGCUGUCGCUGAUUUCAGAAGAAGAAGGACAAGAUUGACACAUGACACAAUACAUCCAGACGACAUGACACAAGAUCACAACCACCCAUGGAUGAACAAUGCCUGGUACCGUUAUGUGUAAAACUCCACAAGAGACAGAAACUAUUACAUCUGUUCGCACAUGCCUCUUAAUGCAAAACACCUGAUAAUGUGCAUUCCACCAACUUGUCUGACACACUGAACACGCUACGUCAGCUCAGACGAGUACAGCAGCAAGAUUACACGCAAAACACAGAGGACUGGCUCACAUGGCUGCUUAGCGGGUCAUGGAAGUCAUUACUUACAAAAGGACUAACAUGCGUUGGAAUGCUCCUUUUGCUACUUUGCUUAUUUUCCACAUGUGUACUGCCUUGUAUUCGGAGUAUGAUAAGCAAAAUGUUUACUGUAAGAUUGCAAGCUUAUGUUGCAUUAUCUCAAAAUGAACAAGCUCAAGAAGAGGUACAAGUUGAAGAAGAUGAUUUUUACUCACUGACUGUGUAAUCCCAAUAAAGCUGACCAUAUAUGUUUUCAUAAAAUGAUACUCUAGUUGAAAAUGCUUCUGCAAGUAACUAGUAGUUGACGUACAUAAAUAUAUAUGAACAACAGCAGGGAAUGUUAAGAGAUUUUGUGAUUUUAUGAUGUUUUUCCUUUUUGAUACAUUUUCCCUUUUAAUGUUUCAUUUACUCAGUUUUCCUUAUAAUGUUCCAUUUACUCAUAUGCUUCUGUUAAGAAAGGCCUGAUACUCAUAUGCUUAUGUUAAGAAAGGCUUGAAAAGCACAUAGUGUUCACAUAUCUUUAUGUUUUGUCUUUGCUUCUUCUCACACACAUACACAUGAGCCCUGCAGUAAUCGCUGACUCCUGUAGAAGUAUCUUGCAGACACCCUUGGAAACAGGACCCAACUGGCUUCUGUUUUCCUCGAGAUAGACAAUACACUCACACACACACACACACACACUGUGUCCCAUACAUGCCCAGAUUGUCUGUUACAGUCUGAAAAAACAGAGAAUGCUACGAUGUAUAAAUAAAGCUGACUGCAAAGCCUCGGUGUGAGUAUCACCCGAUCACUCACCCGUGCGCACGUAGUUCUCUGAACAAAA